rnacentral:lncRNA from 1 species
GUUUCCGGGAUUUCUCUGUAGGUGAGGCGGGAGGCUGGAGGGAGCUGAGCCCCCGGGGAGGGGGCCCGAUUCCGCCUCGCCGCGCCUCUGGCUGCUGGGCCGUGGGUUUUUCUCUUCUCCUGGGAGUAAGGAGGACGACGGCCCCUAACCCCUGAAUUAGCCUUCUAUUUCCAUUAGUGACUUAGAAGCUACCCGGCGCCUCAUCUGGGCUCACCUGAGCUGAGGAUCAGGAAGGGGAGGGGGCACAGUCAUUCCCUCGCGGACGCGGCGGGACCCCAGCGGACGGCUUUGUGCGGACUUUCGGCACCGUUAUGCCCCCCUAGCCCGACACCACCUGGGGCUGGCGCGCCACGUUACUGUUCAGGGCCAGACGCACCGCCCUGCCUGCUCCGGGGAGCCGGACCUCCGAUCCCGGGGAUGGGGGACCCCGAGACCUCAGACCCAACGGAGGGGACUCUGAUACCUCAGACCCCACGCGGGGACCCCGAGGCUUCAGACCCCCACAGGGUGACCCCGAGAUCUCAGACCCCCGCAGGAGUACCUCCAGACCUCAAAUCCCCAGUAAGGGAAUGAAAGAGACUUCGGAUCCCUGAGGCAGCAAAUCCCUGUAGGGGCAUCCCAGGACUCAGGUCACCGCGGGGUGAACCCAGACCUCACAUUCAGGCAAUCCCCAGGACGCCGAUCGGCUGGCACUACCCACUGUCCCGGCCACCCCCCCUGGAGCUCAAAGGCUUGGCCCUCCAGCUGCUCCACCCUGCCGGCAACCAGGCUCAAACCUGCAGCCCGCGGAUCCCCUGCCCCGGAAGCAACCAGAUUCGCGGGAGGUUACCUGACUGAUCCAAGAUGGAGUCUUGCUCUGUUGCCAGGCUGGAGUGCAGUGGCAGGAUCUCAGCUCCCUACAAUCCCUGCCUCCCGGGUUCAAGCGAUUCCCCUGCCUCAGCCUGCUGAGUAGCUGGGACUACAGGCACACACCACCAUGGCUGGCUAGUUAUUGUAUUUUUAGUAGAGAUGAGGGUUCACCAUAUUGGCCAGGAUGGUCUCCAGCUCCUGACCUCGUGAUCUACCCGCCUCAGCCUCCGAAAGUGCUAGGAUUACAGGAUAAGCCACCAGGCCCAGACAUAUUUUUAAUUGACUAUUUAAGUAGACCUUGGUAAUAACUGCUUUUCUGUUUUUCACUGCAUACUAGCAGGCAAGGGCAAUUUUUUAGCCAGCCAAUACCGCAUUGAUUCUUGUAAGUCAGUGGCUAUUGCAAAAUUAACCCUUGUGGGUUAAAAAUAGAUUUAAAAUGUAAAGAUGAACAUGUAAUAUAAAGAAGACAAUUUCUAAGGUUAUUUUCAAAUUGAAGCAUCCGUGGUGGGAAACGAUUAUUUUGGCAGAGAUAGUACUUAAAAUAACACUUGGAUUUGCAAACUGGAGAACAUCAGCAGGAUAAUUCAUAAGCAUGCUCAUUUCCUCCUUGCUGGGUAUUAGCCAGGAAUACAGUACAGCAUAUGGCUUGUUAUUCUUGUAGCUGGAGACGACAGAAUUAAAUCCAGAGAUGAAUGACUGUUUUCUCAUCUAAGUCCCAGCCUGUCUGCCUUUCCAGGAACUGGCUAGUUAUGAUGGGACAUGGUUUUGCUGUGAGGCCAAGAUGCAGGAGGGGCAGGAAGCACCCAUGGGGCUGUCUUCACUGCAGGUGACACACGCUGAACACAGCCUUCAACCCUUGCCAUGUGCAGCCCCCGCAAGGCAAGCUGGCUUUGGAUUGACAAGUGGUUUCUGGGAGAUGCAGUAGAAGUACUUUUCUCUAUUCUUCUGCUAAGUCAACUAAAAACCCUGGACGUUAUACAUAAAGCAAACAGAAGAAUCCCCUGGAAGGCAGAAGAAAGCCAAGCGCUGGCCGAUGACCUCAGGGCCUGAGGAGCAUCACACUCCCAGGCUGGCAUAGGCAGAAGCCCAGUGGGAAGGGCAGAAUCUCCUGCUGCUUCCUGCAGGAGUAAUGAGGGGCCCUCCUGCUGUGGGGUAUCAACAGAGACUGAGUGUGGAACCCAGACUCCUGCCUUCACUUACAGUAACAAGGUGACAUUUCCCUUCCCUUCACACAGGGUUUUACAUUUGCUCCCUGUGAUAGCCUUAGAUCAUGUUAGGGCUAUUGAACCAGAGGCCCCUCUGUUCUGUUCCACACAAAACUCACCUCCCUGGAUUCUUCAGUUGAUUUUGGAUCUUGUGAUGAGAAGUUGUGAGCUUCUGUGCUAAACUUAAGGACAGAGAAGGACUCUAAUUUAUCUUUGCAUUCAUCAAAGAUGAAUUAUUUGAGUCUAAACUACCCAUAGCACUUAGUGUAGUGUCUGGGCGUAUAGGAACUUGAUACAUAUGGGUUGAACUCUUGAUGGAAUUGUUGAGAGCAUAAGUGUUUCUGGAACAUUCUGUUUAUCUGACUUUACAGUGAUUAACUAGACAUACCUUACAGAGACUGACACAGACAAUGAGAAAUUGGAAUUUCUUUGUCACCAGAACUGAAAUCUGUUGAGGGCGAUGAGAGAGCUGCUGUAGAGAAGUUCUCAUAGGCAUACUCUUCUCUGGGUAGCAUUGGAAACUUUCGAAUUCUUACUUUUCUAUUGAGAGGAUAUGGGAUUUGGUGUCAGACUUCAAUUCAAAUUUCAUCACUGUGCUCCUGGGCAAAUGACAUAGCCUCCUUGCACUUUGAUUGUCUCACCUAUAUAUGUUAUACAAUACGGUAUACCAUUUUACUGUGAGAGUAAGACGCUUCUCAAAUUGUUGGGGAAAUUUAAUUAACAAAGAUACGUGAAUGAAUCUAGCAUGGUGGCUAAUAUCUAAAUUACUCUAAGUCUUCAUCUCCUAAUAUUAUUAUUCUGCAAACUAGAUAAGAUAGCUAUAAUUUCCCU